rnacentral:rRNA from 1 species
GACGAACGCUGGCGGCGUGCCUAACACAUGCAAGUCGAACGGGGUAGUUCCUUCGGGGACUACUUAGUGGCGAACGGGUGAGUAACGCGUGAGGAACCUGCCUUUCAGUGGGGGACAACAGUUGGAAACGACUGCUAAUACCGCAUAACAUGUACGGAUCGCAUGGUCUGUACAUCAAAGAUUUAUUGCUGAAAGAUGGCCUCGCGUCUGAUUAGCUAGUUGGUGGGGUAACGGCCCACCAAGGCGACGAUCAGUAGCCGGUCUGAGAGGAUGAACGGCCACAUUGGGACUGAGAUACGGCCCAGACUCCUACGGGAGGCAGCAGUGGGGAAUAUUGGGCAAUGGGGGAAACCCUGACCCAGCAACGCCGCGUGAAGGAAGAAGGCCUUCGGGUUGUAAACUUCUUUUACCAGGGACGAAGAACGUGACGGUACCUGGAGAAAAAGCAACGGCUAACUACGUGCCAGCCGCCGCUGUAAGAC